UGUUUGCUGUGAAGAAGUCAUAAGGACGGUAUCUAAGAAAUAUGGCUCUUGAAUAAGUGCUUCUUCCUUGAUUAUCCAUCCAAAACUGAUCUAAUAUUCUGAGCAAAUG